rnacentral:lncRNA from 1 species
UUUUUUUUUUUUUUUUUUUUGUAUUCAUGUUUUUAUUGUUAGUUUAAGAUAAAUAUAUGAUGAAUAUAACAAAAAUUUGCUGGUCUGAAGUUUUACUUAUGAUUUGAUAUUCGAGCCACACUACUAUUGCAGAGAAUAUUUUCUUGGACUGUUCGUGUAAUCAGAUAUCUGCAAUCUUGAGUAGACGUCAAGCAAUUUACCAGAAGUCAAUGAUUAACCAAUUCACUAAAAAAAGUUUGAAAAUAAGCUAAAAUUGGAUAACCACGAAACUUAUUCCUUGUUUGAAUUGCAUUUUUCUGGGCUUUUUAUAGAAAAAUUACUGUAUCGAUUUGAUAUAUGUGAGGUAAAAAUAUGAUUGAAAAAUAUGUCCACAAACAACGUAGCAAGUUUUCUUUGAAAACUAGCCAUGCUUCCACCUUGUAAGAUAAGAUAACUUCUUGCACUCACAAUCAGAAAUUAGACAAUCUGCAAAUUUCAGUCUUUUAUACUACUAACUAUUCUAUUGGGGGAGCUUUCUUACGCGCUCUAGGAUUGAUAUGAGAGGGAGAAAUGGUGCUGAUUUUUACCCAAAGAACUCAGCAAAGUAGUAAAUAAACAUAUCAAAAAUAUUCUUUCUCAUGGGUCACUACCCAUGUCCCUGUGUGUGGAAGAAGAAAGUGAUCUCUCUUUUUGAACUUUGGUUCCUUCUAUUCGUGGCCUCUUCUCCUUCUCUAGUUUCUAUGCUAAGGAAUACGACCACAUCAAGGACCUCAACCACUACUGUAUCAUAUUUAAACCAAAAAACUGAGGUCCGGCAUAUAACAGCAAAGAAUUGAAUAUAGGAUGGUAUAAGAACCAUUAACCAAAAAAAAAAAAGAGUGGGUACUCCUCAAAAAUUCAUGUGGUGCAAUUGGAUUAAUGGGUCAUGGGAUUAAUGUAUAAAAGUUGUUACCUCAGCCCGUUUAAUUAUUAUUCUGAAAAUUUCAAAAAAAAAAAAAAAGAAAAAAAAGAAGAGAGAAUCGAAUGAGAGCUUCCCGAAUAAUCUCCGUAACUAUCAACCGUCUCGUUAUUGCGGAUACUUUCGGCAAUUGUGGUUGUUGCUCACCUUUGAUUCAACAUUUUGACACUUCACAUGGACAUGAACAUGAUCGAUCAAUCAUUUCGUACUACCACACCAACUUCCAAAAUUAACCAUUACAUCACUAAUUAUUGAUAUUGUGACUAUUUUUCUUUCUCUUUGGAUCAAAAUCAGGAAUCCCAUGCACAAUUUUUUUAAAAUAUAUAUAUAGACGCUUUCUGAUUUGUUUCCUGCGUUAGAAAAAUCGCUACUGAAUAUCAAGUAAUUAUGAAAAUGCUUUAGCAUUUAUGACUUUUGUUCCCGUUUUGUGUAGAUAAAUAGGAGUACAAUGACAAAUAGAGAUAUUAAUUGCUAGUCAAGCUCAUUUUUUUUUUAUUUUUCUCUACUUAAGUUGAUAUUAUUAGCAGUAUGCCCUAAAAAAACUUAGAAGUACUUCCUAGUUUGUGUUCCAUACUUCCAUGGUGUUAAAGUAGUCAAAUUUUAAGACAUUUCCUACAUAGGAACUUGGUCCUCAACUAGGCAUGUCAAACCCAAGACCCGGCCAAACCCAAGCCAUUGAUCUAGUGAUUAAAGUUAAGACCCCAGAACGUAAAAGUUGUGGGCUCUAAUUCUCCCGUCUCCUUCUCACUUCUUUAAAAGAAUAUAUAUAUAUAUAUAUAUAUAUAUAUAUAGAGAGAGAGAGAGAGAGAUAGAAGUGUUCGUCCUAAGACCCUCCCCUCACAGUCUUAUGUAGCAAAGGUCCCAUUGAUGUUCCAAGAAGUCACAGAAUUGGCGAAGGACCGGCUGUUGAUGUGUUGUAUUAUUAGAAUAUGAAAUGAUAGUUCUGGAGGAGGCACUUAAUGAGUCACCUUCGCCCGUCAAUUGCCACUCUACUCUUCAUCAUGAAUUCAAGUGGUCUAGGGAUAAGAUCACAUUAAUUGUGGUCCAUUUAACAGUUUUUUAACUUUUUCCCCGCCUCUCAACAUCAAGAGCCAAAAAGAAAGUACAAAAACAAAAAAAGAAGAAAGAAACAAACCUCAUAGAACCCUCAAAAAGCUAAUCAACAGUGCCAUAGAUCCACUUUCAAGAAAGACAUCUUAAGUUUUCUCGUGAACAAAUAUUCCAGAAUUUGAGUGCUACAACAAUUAAUUAGUUUACCCAUAGUGGGCAGUAUUUUUAUUUCCAGUCAUUCUUAUUAAAUUUCAAAUAUUACAGCAAGUGAAAGUUAAAUUUGUGGGAAGAGCGAAAAGAAAGAAAGAACAACAUUAAUGAACAACAAUAUCAAUGAGAUACGAGGGCCUACACGAGAAAGGGUGGGCGAAAACUUGAGUAGUCCCGGUCUAUAUAUAUAGAACCAAUGGUUUGAAAUUUGUCGCACCAUUUCACCAAUUGAAGUAUUGAAAAUGUGGCAAAAUUUGAACCAUUGGAUCUACAAGACCGGGUCUACCCACGUCUUUGCAGUUUGCACAGACGUUGUGGUGCCUACAAGGGAAGAUAUUUUCUUCAGUUGGGAAAUUGACCAUUGAUAUGUGACUUGUUUCCAGAUUUAAUUAGCUUAAUAGUAAAUCUUUGAACCAGAAAAGAACCCCAACAAAAGAAAAAUGAAAAAAGACAUCUUAGGCCAGGAAUAAAAUUUUUUAUGUGAAUUGAGUCACAAUUAACCAGCCACAAAAGGUAUGCUACAAAUUUUUUUUUUUUUUUGUCUACCACUGUCCAAAUUAAACCACAUUUAUGAUGACAGUUACUCAAGAUAUUCAAAAGAUCCGACAUGUCAAAUUAUCAGAACCACUCUCAGAAAGUCCAAGGAUUAAAACCCUUUUAAGUUAGCUUGUAUUACAACCCUUUGGUUGUAAGUUGAAGUUGAGCCCUUCUCUAGGAACAUACACAAUUUCAAACAAAAUAAUGCAUGAAUCAAAAGAAAACCUGAAACUUGUUGCACAGAACAUGCAGGCCUUCUUU